rnacentral:rRNA from 1 species
UGAGUAACCUGCCCUUAACUCUGGGAUAAGCCUGGGAAACUGGGUCUAAUACCGGAUAUGACUCCUCAUCGCAUGGUGGGGGGUGGAAAGCUUUAUUGUGGUUUUGGAUGGACUCGCGGCCUAUCAGCUUGUUGGUGAGGUAAUGGCUCACCAAGGCGACGGCGGGUAGCCGGCCUGAGAGGGUGACCCGGCCACACUGGGACUGAGACACGGCCCAGACCUCCGUACGGGAGCAG